rnacentral:ribozyme from 12 species
CUAAAAAUCAACAAGAAGGCAUUAGAAGAAAAGGACAAGGAAUCGAAAGAAAAAGAACACACCACAUUUUCUUCUUUUCAGCAUUCGUAUUUCUUCCUCAUUUUCCUCCAAUUCCUUGUCCUUAUGCUGUUCCAUAGCAUUUUGAUUUCUGAUACUGAUACUAGGUAGAUAAGUAAACGUAAUAAACAUCAAUCUUU